GGAACAAGGGAAUUCCUGGGUUUCUGAUCUUUGUUUUAAUCUGUAUGGAAUCACCUGAUUAUUCUUCUUCAUAAAAACAAAUUUAAGCUGUUAUAUAUAUAUCAUGCAUGUUUUAUAUUUUCCUUAUAUUUCAUAAUAAUUAAUUGAAAAAAGACCAGUAUCUUCUAAACUCCCAAAUAGCCCUCAGAAUGAACUAUCAGAGAAGAUCCUGGUUCCUUUUGCAAUUAACAAAACUCCCUAAAUUACGGUUUUCCACCACCAUCAUAUUGACCUACAGGUAAGUAUGUUUGUUGAGUAAACACAUGUGUGCUUGCAUGCAGGAAUCAUAUUCUCUUUCAAUAUAGAAAAUAUGGUGAUUAUUUUAUAGAGUUCCUGUUUUUUGAUUCGGUCUACAAUUAAUUCCUUUAUUAUAUGCUGGUAACAAUUCU
rnacentral:lncRNA from 1 species